CCCCAUGGGGCCCUCGCACUUACUGUGGUUUUGCAGCUGUUGCGGCGUGCAAAUAAAGAUGUUUGUCUGAGGGAGGAGAGCUGGCGGGUCCGCUGCUGUUGGCCUAAGGAGCGUGCGCGUAAAGGUCACACCGGCUCAGGGGCAGGAGUUCAAAGCAAGUGCAAAUAACGCUACUAAUCUGCACCACACCACGCAAAUAAGGCCGUGGUCAGAAAAGGAGAGUGAGAGGUGAAUUAUUAACUGUAAAGCCAACAAGAUUUCAGGGACAUGCGGUAUACAUUGGACCGUGCCGAGCACCUGAGGUCAGCGGUCUGCUGGCCCUGUUCGUGCAGCGCUUUCUGCCGGUGGCUCUGAAAGGAGACGCUACCUGUGAGCCAACUUGUGUGACCCACCUGCACACCCCGAGCUCCCGCAGGCCACCAGUGCUCCAGGUGGCCACUUAGGCCGACGCACACAACCUGCCCCAAACCACCCCUAAAGCCUCGCAGCUCGGUCUUACUGAGGCUGGAAAUGUAAAUUAGUUAGUUGCAGUGUGCUACUGGUGGUCAUAUUAAUCAAAAGUAAUUGUUCCAGUCUCAAAAAUGCUCGCAAUUCUUAGAGGAAAAGACAUGAAGAUAAGCAGGUUGCUCAAGGAAAUGGCAGAGUACUUGUUCGAAGGCAGAGUUCACAUGAGCACAAGGACAAAAUACCUGGCCUGAAUUUCAAGUACAAGAUCUCCUUCACAUUCACUUCUCAUGUUCUUAUCAUGCUUUCAGAGGCCAGAUUUGUUUGGCUUAAUAUUUAGCUACUUAUCCUGCCAAAACAAAGAAUGCUUUAUUCUUGCUUUGGAAGACCGCAGUGUAUAUAGUUUCCCCCUAUAACUCUGAGUUAAUUGGAGAGGGGAUUGUCUCAGAACAUUUCAGGCCUUGGAUAGUCUAGAAGUACCCAUUUCCACUGCCAUUAGUGGUGCUAAAUGCCCCAAAUCAGGUAGUAUUAAUCCAAGUCUUCAUGUUUUUCAGGCAAUGGAGUGCUUUUUACAGAGACUUAAAAUAUGUAAUAAUAUCAGAGAGCUAACAGGGAUAGCUACAAUACAUCCAUAGUUCUGGCUUUCUUCUGCCUUCUUUUCUCUGUGGGUUUAAAAAGCAGUUGACAAGUAGGAUGCAGAACAGAAGUCACUAAAAAAUACCUGAUAACUUCCACUACCUGAUAACUGCAGGAAAGCUGCUGCAGUCCAUGCAAAGGGAUGUGACACCCUGAGAGACUGCUCCUCUCCUUCCAGUUGUGCGUAAUAGCUAUAUCUGUCCAUGAGAUACCUCGCACAAUCUUUAAGGAGAACAAACUGUAACAACCUUGUUAUCAGUCUUAUCCAAACAAAGGUGUUUGCAGCAUCAAGCAUAGUCUAACAACCAGCUGUGUCUUCUUCCUUUAGGCCCACUGAGAAGCUAUCAAAUGAAUUGUCUGCAUUAGUUGUGACAGCACAUACAUUUCAUAUAUCUUGGGGUGACCCGAGAUAACCUUGCUUAGUUUACAAUAUCUUCUGGUUUUCUGUUUGAAAUAGUUUGGCUGAAGGAAUGGUAAUAGUAUGCAGUACUUUUCAGCUAAGAAUUCACUUUUAUUUUUGACACCUCAAAAGCACAUUGAGCAGAUAGUCUCAAGUUAAUACGCACUGAGUCCCUGCAUUUCAUUUUCCUGAGUUUUACAUGCAGUUUGUAACCCAUCGCUGGCCUGAAUUUUGUUGUGCUCAUUUGCAUGUGCAAACGUGUGUAUGUCAGCUGUUACAUGUGGCAUUUUUGCAAGUUGGCCACUUCAAGAAGGUCACCCAACAGCAGCAAGAUCCAGUCUCAAGGUCUUUGAACUAACAAAUUCAGAGGGGAAAAGUUGUUUAGCAAAAAAUUCUAGCGAUGUUGAUACAGGAAGUAGUGGCUCUGCCAUGAGGAGUUAUCUGGGGCCAUCUGUUGUUUGGGCACAUCAAGUUGUGUUUUGCUGCUUUCCAUAGCUUAUCUGCUAAGAGACAUGCUACUGGGUGACUGUGCAAAGGGUCAGAAUCCACUUUGCAGUUUCAUAACCAUUCACCAAUCUUUUACCCAAAUCAGUUUUUCUUGGAACAAGGCACUAUCCUGUAUAUAUUCCCACAGAUGGAGUUCUGCUUUUUUUCAAGAGAGAUGGUUAGCAGAGAGGAUGGUUUCAAACUAAUGACUCGCUCCAAGGAGAAAAUGCAGCUUCAUUCAUGUAACAGUUGAAACCAUUUGGAUAGUCAUAAAGUAGAAACAGACUGGGAGUAAAGAACUACUUGCAUUAUAUUAGAAAAAUGAGUACUGCUGAUUUUUGGGGCUUUGUGAAGGUCACCUCUUUUUUUUUUUUUUUUUAAACUUUAAAUUGCCCAUACAUGUACUGGAGUAACGAUCAUCUACGUAUAAUGUAUCUUAUGCUUAAGUAUAAUAGAGGGAAUAUUGCUGAUCUGAUAUCAGAAGGCUUCUUCUGACACUUUCAAGUUUUAAAAAUUUUAUAAUGUGUCCAGCUCAGUUGAGGUUUCGUCCCCGAGUACUCAUUGCUGCAACUAUUCUGUCUCCUGGUGAAGAUAGUGUAAUGAGCAUUUUUAUAUGUUUUAAAAUUCUUCCUUUAUUUGCAAUGGAUUAUUUUUUGUCCAGAAGGCCCAACAAAGGAUUAUAAAGAAGACUCAGAUGAUGGAUAACCAUUCUUUGCAGUGCUUUUUGUUGGCAGAAUUUAGUUGUCUUUCCAGACCAUGGCAGCUGUCAUUUACCCCUAUGAAGUCAGAUAUCCCCUCUUAACGCAGAUAGUUAAUCAGUGAAGUGUGCUAAAAAAGAGGUUAAAUAAGAGUUGAAUUUAGAGAGCAAUACAAACAUCAACAAAAACCUGUCAACAAAGUGAUAAGUAAUAAGAGAAGUAAAUUAUGGACAUAGGUUAAGAAAUGUGAAAGAAGUCUUGAGAAAAGGACGGAAGCUUGGUGUACUGUACCAAACAGAGGUUCACACACUUGGAAGAAAAUAAGCAGGGAGAUUCCUGAAUCUCUUGGAUUUCAAGUUCCGUUGUCACAAUCUUCAUCCUGAAAUGCUGGAAGAAACUUCUAUUUCCUCUUUAUUUGUUGUUACAUAUUGUAAAAUGACAUGACCAUGACACAUAUUUGUAGCUAUACUGCAUAACAUUUAAAGAUGGCUCUGUAGAUGGCAAGGUGUUUUUAAAUCUUAUAAAAGUGAAGCUACCUUUGACUCCAACCUCAGCUAUUGCCUCAGCAGAUCUAAGCCAGAGUUGAGGUGUGAGGGGAAUAGGUGGGUGUAAAUCGGUGGACAAAAUGCAGGUGGAAAGAAAAAGAAAGGUUAUGAAGGCUGCAAAAAUCAUGAAAUGGGAAGAGAAGAGCAUUGGUCCCAGCCCUAAAACACAAGUUUCCUGUAUCUAAAAAUGUAAUUCCCAAUAUAAGACAGAAAAAUGGUUUGGGGUUUUUUUUUUUUUUUUUUGAUGUUUGUUUGUUUGCUUUUUUUUUCCAGAUGUCAUAAAAUAAGUUACUUGUCAAUACUGGUUUGCUAAUGUAUGAGUUUAUGUCUACCCUUUCUUCACAUUUUUUCAGGUCCAAGGAGCAGAGAUGAAAUCCAAAACUCAGAAUGGUCUGGGUUCUGUGCCUUGACUUAAAGGAUGAGUUCUCAGUCAUGCCAAACCCAAACAGAGAUGGAAAUCUGUAUUACAGGUGUCAUUAGUAAUCAGAGUUGCUGUAAACAGUGCUGUUGGUUUUAAUAAGCUCAAAAUCUCAGCUCAGCAGGAAAAUAUCUGUCAUGUUAAAGUAUGCAGAUAUAUACAUAUAUACAAGUUUUGUGCCUAAAAUUAGAAUGUGAGAUCUCUAGAUAGGACCUUAAGUCUCUCACUUCUGGAAAGCAUCUCUACUCAGGAGGGAAAUCAAAUGUGUUAGAUUUAAACAUAAUGGUAAGAGCUUUCCUCAUUUUAGGCAUUAACGGAGUAUUCUUCAAAAACGUUUAGCCUCCUGGAGGACCAGAUUAAUCAGUUAAGAGAUCCUGGGACUCCCAGUUUAGAUUACUUCAUAAAAUUGUGGCCCAAUUUGCAAUUACAGUUGUGUGUGAAAAAUAUAUACCAUUACGUAGAUAGAAGAAGAUAGGUAUUUCUUACAAAUAUUUAACUAGUAGCUCUGAGGCCAAACUUUAAGAAACUGUAAGUCAAAAUGAAGCCAUGUCCUAUGGGUGGACUCAUGCGGUUUUCAUGAGUUUGGGGCUGGUUUUGAAUUAUUUGAAGUCUGAAUGAAGAAAAGUUUUUUUGUUUAAUUGAAUCAAUGGUGCUAUAAAAUGUACAGGUCAUCUAAUCCACUGUUAACAAAACAGCAAAUGUGAAAAACCUUAUUCAGAACUGCUCUUCGUACAGGCAGAUGUUGUUUUAAUACAUAUAAAUGCACAUAUAUUUACAUAUAUGGCAACAGAAUACUGAAAUCAAAAUCAGCUUCAGGAGCUAAGUGUUGUUUUAACAUUAGCAAGUCUCUUUCAGGCAAGUGUUCAGUGCUACACUUUUGAAUAACUGUCUUCCCUUGAGGUUGGUAUUUGCUUUAGUUAUCACUUUAGUUAUUAACUCCUACAAUCCAGUUUUCAAACGUGACAGCAGUGUUUGGAUCAAGUUCAACUCUGAAUUCAUUCCAGUAAUGCCCGCAUAGUUUGCAUGGUCUUUUCUAUGUUUGUGUGCAGACGUGGGUUUUUGAUGUAUUCACAAAGCAUGUCUAGCAAUAUAUGAAAUUUUGUCUAUCAACAUCAGGGUCAUGGCAUACACGGAUGAUUUCUUAUGUCACUCUUUUUUUCGAAGACCCUCUGUUAUGGCACAGUGAGAUAAGAAUACAUUGUCAAAUGGAACUCAAAAUUUUCUGUCCCUUUUUUGUUCAAGUUUUUUAUUUUAAAGCAGGCAAUUUUAAUUUGGCAAGCUCCACACAAAUCCAAUCACCAUUUGGAGCUCCAGGAGAAUUGCUCUGCCUUGAUGAGUAACGAGAUGCACUGCAAUGUGGUUGGGAUUGCUCUUUCAGCCCUGUCAGAUCAUAAAGUUAUUAUUGUUGUGAGAUUCUUCAAUUUACGAAAAAUGAUAUGCACCAAAGCUGGCUUAAUAGCUGACAGAACACAAAGAGGGACAUGAUGAGUAAAUCCUGAAAGUCUGUCUGUCACCCACUUAGAUCACACUUGGGAUCUCUGCGCAUCGGCCUUGAUGAAACAGUAAACUGGUUAAAGAAUCCAAAAUUUUAAUUUAACCAAAGUGAAAUAUAUUCAUUUUUUGAAAAUCUUACGAAAGCUCAUUUUCAAUCACAAGCAGCUGACUAAGAAAAUGUCCUUGUAAAUGAUGUCUCUUAACACUAUUAUGUUUAAAGUACUGUCAGCAUUUCUGUUACAGCGAUUUACUGUGAAGUGCUAGAUUAACUACUUACUCAACCAUAAGAAUAUGAAUUCCUUUACAGUCUUUUUACAGUCUAAUGGCUUGCUUUGGCCUAAAAAUCAUGCUCAGGUAUGCACUGAUGUUCAUGUGUUUGUCUAGAGCACCUGCACACCAAAAUACUUUUUCACAUACACAGGUGCCUAUACAUUCUACAGAGAUGUUUAGAAGCAAAAAUCCACCCUACACAAGCAAUUGCCCAAAUGGCAUGCAAAAAGAUGACUCCCAUGCAUACAGAUAUUUUUGUGGGCAUUAGUCAGCUGCUUAGUUAUGAUAACUUGAUACAAAGUCUGACUCUGGAGUUAUUUUAGUGACCAGGAUGCGCUAUUUUCAUUCCGUAUUAUAAAUCCCUGUAAUAUCAUUGCUGACAGAACCUUUAACACAGCAUUGCUAGCAGAUCAUUUAUGAUCAUUAUAAUCUGCUAGCAGAUCAUUUGUUCUUUCAACCCAGGAAUAAAUGCUUGUUACAUCAAUUUUAAUAAUUGCAGUCCUGCUCAGUCAGGACGACCCCUUUCCAAAUGACUGGCAAUACCAGAAGUUGUAUGACUCAUUCCCUCCUUUGUACAUCCCCAGCUGGCACAUUCAGUUCCCUCUUAGUACUCCUAUAUUUCACAAUCCAUAGCAGUCAUUCUCCCCUUUCCGUAAGUGAAAUUAUUAAAAAUGAAACUUGAGAAUUAAUAUUUUAAACAAAAACACAAUGUUUGAGUUUUGCCCCUUGGAUGAAUGCAGAGCUGUUGUCUUAACUGCAUGCUGCAUACUUCACUUUGUGGCAACAUACUUUAGCCCUCUACGCACCCCUUGUUUUGUACUACUAUUUCACAGUUCCAGUAAGAGGGUUAUAUUAUGUCCUUAUUUGUAGAGCACAACAUACAUUUAAUCUGGAAACCAUGAUGUGUACAAGCAAUUAAACAAUAGGUAUUGUUUAAUUAAAACCUGAGAAUUAACAAGAAAGGAGAAUGACGUUCACAAAACCAGUGUGUCUUUUGGUUAACUCUUUCCUGCUCACAACAUGUUCCUGAUUUCUGCUGCUGCAAGUUAAGAUUGCUCAUGGUGCCAAUUCACCCUUCAUUUCUAGAGUGUGUUUCCAUGGAAGAUCUUGUUCUCACCUUCUUAGCUGUGUUUGGUUCAUGUCCUCAGUAGCCACAUUUUAAAAACUUUGCCUGAAUGGUUGCCUUGACCCUUCAGGCCUCUAGCCUGUCCUGCAUGAGCUGGUAUACACCUCACUGAAUCAGCUGCAGGAUCAGCCACAUCGUGCCCCUGAAGGGACAGCCAGGAGUUGUAUGUUUAACUCUGGAAAAUAACUGAUAUCCUGGGAGAGAGUUACACACUACUGUUGGUUUGCAGUGACCGUUCAACCACUGUGAUGCUAGAAGCCUCCUGCCUUUGGAAGUUAUGAAAUAGACUGAUCCUGAGCCACAAUAGUUCUGUGCAACAAAGCCUGAUUUCUAUGGACUUUCAAGGAAGUAAUUGAGCAAAUAAUUCAGCUGUGAGAAAGUGAGAGCAAUGACAAAUCUUAUUGGGUUAGAGGCAAUUGUAGGUGACAAGCUGUUUUACAGUGAAGCCACUUGUAUUCAGAAUUUUUGAUCCCGGUUGAUGAGUGUAAUUUUAUCCACGCAGGCUUAAAGAUUUUAAUUUAAAUUCAGGAGGGGCUUAACAACUGAAUUUCUCUUGUGGAAAUGGAUUUCCAGGUUGGGAACAACUCUAGCUCUUAGGCAGUUUUCCCAUUUACUAAGUAUAGCGAUUCAUUUUAAUUUGCAUAUAGAGAACAUGGAUAUGUAAGUCUCCAAUUACUUUAAAAGCAAUAUUUCAACAGAUACAGUGAAGUAAUUAGUUUAAUGAGCAAAUGUCAUUGCGUAGUGGAAAGCUUGGUUUGCCAAGGAUCAAUUUGUUGACAUUUGAAUCCAACUAGAAAUGAAAUGCACAGAACAAAAAGUAAACUAUUUUAGUAAAAGUCACCUCAUCCAUUUGGAACAAAUGAAAAGUAUGUCUGCUUCUCAACCAGAGGGGCUAAGUAAGGGUUUUUUCUGCAUUAGAAAACUUACAAAUUAUAAUGUAAAAUAUGAAGAGAGUAGAAAAGUUUAUGAUGCAGACAUGGGGAGUCAGCAAGCUACUUUUGUUAGAAGUAGAAUAAUUAUUUCCAGAAUACAUUUUUCACAUAUAUAAAAUGAAGUUACUUAUUACUUACGGCAUCUUUUCACAGAAUUGUAAAGCCUAAUUCAGAAACAUCUGUUAAUAUCUCUGAAAUUCUCAAACAGGGCAGCAAAUGUUAAAACUUUUAUAUCUGGAUUUCCUUUGCUUGAUUGUUAACCAUUGUUGAUACACUGUCAUAUAAAUACAUCAUAUCUCCCAUACAAAUAAAACACGAGAUAUUGCUCAAAGAAUUUUCCUGUCUAUACCGGAGAUUACAGUAGUAAUAAAUCAAGUUAUAACAAUGAAAAAUAAGUACAUAGAAAAGCAGUAAAGAAUAUAGCUGUGAGAGGUAACAAAACAGUUUCUGUUAUGUACAUAUUUUAUUAGUGCACCCAAGUAGCCAAAAGGGCAAGGUGCCUUUUAUCAGGAAGAAGGCGUUCUUUCUCAGUAUGCAAAAUGAAUGUGAACGUUGCUGAUACAGCAGGCAAGUGUAGGAUUAUUUUAAAUGUCCAAAACACAAUGAUUUUCAGAUGUUCUUGAAAAUUACAUUCUUGAAGAUUAUGUAACCUUUUUUUACCAAUGAAAGCUUGGAUUUAAAAUAUAUGGCCAAAAAUGAAAAUUAUAUGUUGUGUUUUUCUUUUCAUAGUUUAAAUAACUAGCAUUAAUAUCUGCUGUCAAGAAUUGUUAAUUUCUAUUUUGAUUAAAGUGAAUGGUGGUAUCUAAGAUCAUUCAUGUCAGUGUUGUAUAAACACUCAGAUAUAAGCUAAUAAGGGUUCACUUUGUCCUCUGGAGAUUGUGUAAUCAUGCCUGCCAGAAAUAACUAUAUUAAAAAUAAUAAAAACCCUGAUGAAAAGCAGAGACUAUCUCCACAACUGAAAUUCAGUCAACAGAGAAAAGCUCUUUUAACAGCAUAUAGCUUUGCUACACAACAGCUUCAAAUGGAAAAUGAAGAUCUUUUAUUCAGAAUUGCAUUGGUAAAGAUUCAGUUUUGUGAUAAGGGUAUUAGUCUUCAUUCUUUUGGACAUAAAUCAAAUUGGAACUGAUGGGAUUAGGAAAAUCUGCCAAUGGGAACACUUUUUAUUCCAGCCUGAUCUGUUGCAGGGUUUCUUGUUCUUUGCACCUCAGAAAUCAAUGGGGUUGAAGAUAGGAUGCUAGAGAUGGAAUAUUGCCUCAGAGCAAGUAGUGAUUUCAUCAGAUGUUGCGGUGCUUGUCUAUUUAUCCAAAACAUGGAUGGAUUUUUUACAUUCCACUACAACAAGUCCUUUAAGGACCACACGAUCAUGGUUAUCACUAAUCAAGGAAAUACCAGAAUUCUACGUAAGCACAAAAGAGUACCCAGCGUGGUUGUGUGAUGUCUUUGUUUGCAGUCCAGUGCGUAAACUAGGUCAUACAGAGGGCUGGCUAUGCUGUGCCUCAGAACUCUGCUGUAUUCUGCUUUCACCUCCUUUUGUGAAGUUGACAAAAUUGCCACAGGAGGACUUCUGUCUUACAGAGAUUGUUCAUGUUAGAAGCACCCGCCCCUCCUCAUGCUGACAUUGUAAUGGAGCUCAAAUGGGAGGCAGCAUCAAGGCUUCAUGUCCCCUUGGUGGCUUUCCAUGCAGCAGCUGUCAGGGAGUGAAGUUUGUCUGGGGGGCUCUCACCCGCCCCUCACCUCUUCCUGCUUUGUGGGCUCUGAAGGAGGAAAAUGAUGCAGGGACUGAUGAGGAAACACGUUUAAGUGUAAGCUUGGGUUCUCUAUACGAGUACUUUGGAAACACUAGUGACGUAGCCUACUGAAUCUGCAUCUUUAAUAAUGAUAUCAAAUUGGCAUUCUAUGUUGACAUUAGAGAUUAUGACUCCUGCAGGUCUGGGAAGCAGUGAGCAGAUGGGACGAGUUAUGGCAGACAUUUACACUAGGCCACUCUACUGCAGGGGCUGAACAGAGCUGCAGUAGCCUCGGAAUGUCUAUGGUGUAUUUCUUUUUUAAUUACGACAUUUCUUAGCUGUCCUUUUGGCCUCAAGGACCUUCAGAUCAGAACUCUGUUCAGUACACUGUGGUGCAGAUGUGCCCACGCUGAUAUUUAUGCAAAAUCUCUUGAUUUUUUAAAAAGUAUUUUUCAAUUUAAUGUAAGUUUUAUUUUUAAUGUGGACUUCUGUUAGAUCUAAAUAAUUGCCAGAGAAGAGUCCUUGCCAGCAGCUGAAUUAUUGCAGUCUGUGCUAUAAUUCCAAUGUGAAUAUAAAUUGUUUUUCUUGUUGGCUUACAAGUACUGUUUCUCUUUGUAAGAUUGGCUAUGAAUCAUCCAAAGGUAAGCAGAUUUUUAAAGAAAAGUCUGAAGUUCUACAGGAAAAUGUGGAAUAAAGAGAUGAGUAUACUUCUGGAAAAUACUGAAUUUAUUUACCACAAGGGGCAAAAUGUUUUUGGCCCUGCUAAACUCAACAUGCAUAGUACAGAAUCAAAAUGAAAUUAAGCCAAUAUGCAUUAGCAGCAACUUCAGUGCAUCAGUAAUUUGUUAUUCUAUGCUGCCAUCUUGUGACUACAAAUAUGACCUGCUGGCGUAUAAUAGAGUAAUAAGCUGUUUAAAUAUGACCUGUACAGUUCAGUGAGGACACUUUCUGGAAAAACUUCAGUUUUUGCAUAGUUACUACAUACUAAGUUAAUAGCAGGGAAAUGAAAAGAACAGAGAAAAUAUUUGACAGCAUUUCUACUAAUGCAGUAUUAGUGAAGUGUUGUAUGUUUGGCCAUUAUGGAUGUGGUCUGCUUCACAAAAUGCAGUGAAGUCAUUGUUUGUAAAAGUUUCUGAAAAGAAAACUUAUGUAAAGAUCCAUUAAAUUAGUUCCUACCCGCAGGUAAACAGAUACAUCAGGUAGCCCUUCUUCAGAGAUCCAUACAGAAAAGACUUACUUAGGUUUCUGUCAAUAGGGGAAAGCAAAAUUAAACAAUAACCAACUUACGACUUCCUUCUCAUCUCUUUAACAUAAAGGAAAAUGCAUUCAGUUUGAGGGUGAAAUUCAAGGCUGAAUCAGUGAAUGUUAUGUAGUAUUAUCUUCUGUACAGCAGGGUGGCAUUGGGGAGCCUCAAAGCCAAGAGUGAAUGAGAUGAGCGAAUGAGAACCAGUAGCAAGAGUGGCUGGUAGCUGCUGAACACACAGCAGGAUAUGCAAUACUGUGCAUUGCAUCACUAGCACAAAGUAAAAUCAAUCUAAAAGGCCUCCAUUUUUAGUGGUUCUACUAAGGAUGAAGUUUUGCACACCAAGGCACGCUGGCUGAAUGGUAAUGAUUAGAUGACAGAGUAGAUAUUCACUUCUAAUGCUUCCAGUUCACCAUACUGUAGAAACCACCUUUCAAAGCUGGAGGACUUUUGCUUAUCAGGCAUUCUUGACCAUCUGAAGAUGGAAGUACUAAGUUGUUAUGCGGGUAUCAUCCAACAGAGCAAAGAGACAUAAGCUGUCCAAGAAUGAAUUAACCUAGAAUUUAGAGAUGAGUUUCAAACCACUAAAUCAAUGAGAAUCUGAAAUGGUUAUCUGAGAGAGCAAAGGAAACCUGACUACUAACAGAGUGGAUCUUGUUUAAGUGUUGAAAGAAUUUUUGAGACAGAUUGCUGGUUAGAAUUUGGGAUAUUGCUUCCAGUCCAGUCCAGUCCAGUCCAGUCCAGUCCAGUCCAGUCCAAUGUUUGCUGAAGUUAAAGACACACCAGAUUUUGAAAGCUCAGGAACGUUUUAGUUACAUGAACACCUGGAUAAGGAAGUACCUUAACAAAGUAAUGUAAAAAACACUUGGAGAGACUUAGAUAUAGCCUGAAUUGAAAUAGGGGAGAGCAUGGAGGAUGUAGGAACUCAUGCACAGAGAGGAAUCCAUUUCCUCUCAGGAAAGGAAAUGGAAGAGAAGUGGAUGACCUGAGUGGAAAACAAAGAUCUCUGCUUUAACCCUGCCGAGUUGAAACUCCAGAUUCAAAUGUUGCAGCUAAGUGUGCCUAAAUCUCUCUCUAACGCUGAUGAAGCGUGGCAGAUUCACUCUUUCCCGGGGAAGUGUACCUGCAGCAAGAAAGCACUGAUGGAGGAAUGAAUAUGCCAUGGUAGAUCUAGUCUGGAAGUUUAUGUAGGGAAAAGUGAGAAGGCUUGUUGAAGCAUCCCUAAGUUAUUGAAUUGCUUUAAGUAUUUCUUAUAUUAAAUUGUUCACUUUCGGCUUCAAUCAAAUUGUACAUCAUUGCUGUGGUCUAAGAAAUAACUUUGCUUAGAAACUAGGUGGAGCUAUUUGUUUAGUACAGGCAGUGGUUUUGUCAUGUUGCACUCUGUGCAGAAUAGAGUGCAUGGUUUAUGUACACAGAUGAUGCAUGUGACACCUCUAUUUCAUCAUGCAUAUAUCUGAUAAAUUUCAAUGGUACAAUGAUAUAUUUAAUGAUGUAUCUGAGAACUGUCAUGCUGUGCACGUAGCGUGCAUUUGUAGAGUGAAAGUUCUUAUGUUAGAGCAUGUUUCAGACAGCUUAAAGAAGUCAGUUAAGUGAGUGGCACAGAAGAUGAAGACUGCAUUAGAGAAGGACUGCUGACAAAAGUCUUAACAGAAGCCAGAUGCUCCAAAACAGAUAUUUUGAAAUUAUUGAGCUCUUUGUAGCAAAGUAAAAAUAAAUGCAUUACCAUUUACAGAUGCUUAGAAAGAAAACAGCAGAGAAGAGAUUGAGAACUUGUGUCAGAGACAGAAAAUAAGUCUCUUGAACCUGAAUAUACCAUGAUGGUCAGUCCUGUUUUCUCAAGGUUUGCUCUGACAAAUGCUACCUGCAAAAACUGCUUUCUCUAAGUAUCAGAGGACUAGUGGUGAAAUACACCCCCCAUACACCAUCUGCAUCCCAAAUUUCUUAAUGUACUUGGUGAUUAGAAGCCAAAACUAUGUGGUAAGUAAGCUAGGUUGAGUGCCUUUUAAAAAGGUCUCAUGGCCUUAAAACCUCUCCUUCACUUAGUAUUGUUCUCCAGGGAGCUCUUCAGGCCUCCUUCAUUCUGCACCUCAUAGAUACCUCAAGAGUCCUCUUACACUAAAGAGUGAUGUGCAACUUGAAGCCAUCUCCAGAAUUCUAAUUUCUGUAUGUCAGCAUCUGGAAAUCCCAGCAUUUGUAGCAAAACACAGCUGGGCUGCUCCUGAAUGUGACUGGGAGGAAGAACUGGGAAACUUCUACCUCUGGUUCUUUCAUCAGCGCUUGAGUGGAAAAGCUGAACUAUAUUUGAUUUGUUCAGUGUCAAAUGCUGGCUUUACAAAAGUAGAUAAAAGCACACAGAGCUGAUUUCUGGCUGCGGGACUUUGCAGCUAGUUUGAUCACCAAAACAGGACUGUUUGCAAAGUAAUAUACCUGUUGUCAGCCAUGAAGUUGCAAAUAAAUUGGGACUUUCCUAAUGUAUUUUUAAGGCAUUAGAAACCAGACUAAUCUAUUGUUAAUCUGGAGUUAUUAUGCUUAUUCCAUUUUUUAUAGACCACAGACAUUAAUGAUAAUGCUUAAUAAUUAAAUACUCAUAGUUAAGACAAACAAAAUUUUGGUAAGAGAACAAAGAAUUCAAUCAAAACUAUGAUUGGCUUCCAUAUAGUCUUUUCCGUCCCACUGCUCCCAUUCUCUUGACUUCACAAAAUGUUUGUUAAAAUUAUCUUUACUCUCAGCUGUUCUGAAAGUCGGCAAUGCUUGCAAUUUUGACCAGUGGUUCAUUAACAUAACAGGCUGCUCUGCUUUUUAUACCUCUCCUGAGUUAAGAAUCUGGUAAGUUUCCAUUUCUGCUUGCACUUGUCUUUCUGUAAAACUAACUUCCUCUGAUAAUCUGAAGCUUACCUGAAGUCUUGUAUUACUUUUCAUUCUAGCUCCCUCCUUCAUAGCUGAGAGCUUGCAUUCACUUUUUAUAAGUACAGCCAGUCUAUAUAUUUCUUACCCUUUCUAAAGUCAGUUAUCACUUUCCUUUCUCCUUUGCUGCCUUAAUGCUGCUACAUUUAUGUUCUCUUUGCCAUAUCAGUUUGAAAGAGGCAAAUGAUGUUAUUUUUUUACUCCACGCAAUCCAUCACACACUAUCUCUUCUGACCAGAUUCAGGGAAUUCAGCAAAUAAAUACUUUUUGUGAGAUUUCCAUCUUUUGCUCAACUUUAAAUUAAAACAAAAGAAGUAAUGCCCUCAACUUUAAGGUUAAGAAGAAGAACACAUAAACAUGAGUGAAGUCCACCAAGUCUGGUGAGAAAAUGACCAACUAAGCAUUUGAUAGAUUAAGCAUGUUGGCACAGUAAUACUGUACAAACAUGCUUUCAUCCACUCAGCAUAAGUAUUCUUACCCGGUUUAGAUAUGUUGCCUGAAUGCAGCAUAGGUAGAUCAGAAGUGAUGCAGCAAUGUUUCCAUAAAUCACUUUCAAGCAGUGCUAGCUAUUCUGCUAACAAUGUGUUCAAGGAAAAAAAGAAAAGCAUGUUAUGAAGUUUUGCAUCACUCACUGUAAGUGAUCUCUCCAUGUGGUCACUAGCGACUCUCACAACCCACACCACAGCUGUGUAUUAUAUCUAACUCCUGGUAUGCUAAACAUGGGCAAAAUUUAUCAGUGCAUGACUACACUGUAAAUAUCUGCGUUAUCAGCUGUUGACUCUAAUUUCGAACUUCAAAUAGUGUAAGACUAACUUACUGCUCGUAGUGCCAUAUUUAGAAAGGAAAUACACCAUAAAUAUUCUGAGGCUAGCACAGGACUAUUCAACUCAAUUCAAGCCCUUUAUCACAACUUUGUGUUUCACAGUCUUAUUAUUAAAUUAGAUCAUUGAGUGCCACCUUACACACUUUUGCUAUUAUGUCCAGACUGGCAGACACAAUUCUCUACUGCCUGGUCACAAUGCAUGAGAUAAGUUUGAUGCUUUCCUAGAGAACUACUGCAAAAAUUCCUUGAAUACCAGCUACAGGACUAGCUGAUCUCUCUCCCAGCCUCCUUCAUAGUUCAAAUAUUGUUCCUCUUAAUAGAACUGAAGGAACUGAGAUUAAGAUUCCUUUAAAGAGAAUUUAUUAAAUCCCCAGAAGGUCUAUGAACAGGAGAAAAACUUCCAAAGCUGAGAUUAAAGCUGGCACUUUAAUAAAGAUUGAGGUGCCUGAAUAAAUUGGUUGUCCCACAGGUGCUGAGCCACUGACAUUAGCUCUGCAAGGGAAGAAACUAGGCAGCACAUCUGAAAACUAAGCUAUUUAUGUAGGUACUUGAACAUACCAAAACCCAAGCCUGUGCACCAUACAUCUUGUCCCUUUUAUGGACCUGUGUUUGUCUAGGCUGCUUUCAAUACACUUGCUUACUUUACGGCUAUUCAAGGCAGCUCUGUAAGACUGGGGAUUGACAUUAGCACAUAGCUGUACCCGUUAGAAAUAGUCUCCCUCCCCCCCCAAGCUGUAUGCUAUUUGCUUAUACUAGAGAUUACUGUCCCCAGGAGGAAUCUUGUCAGCAUUUGCUAAUCUGCUUCAGUCAACCACAAUUCGGUUAAUUUAAACAGAUGAUGAAAGUGGUUUGCGCUAGCAGGGUGAAAUUUGCCUGAAGCAUUUUAGUGAAACCACCCAAUGUCCCUUCCUGGAACAGAGUGGUGGAGACAGCUUCCAGCUGCUGGCUUUGCAAGCAGCUGAGCGUAGUAGUGGUGAAAAAGGCACUUUGGAGUCUUAAGGAGGACAUCUGCCCAUGGCCUAACAUGGAGUUAUCUGAGACACUGAGAAAACAAAAAGAAGUCACAAGAGCAGCACUGGAUAUGGACUGUCCAAAUCAAGAAUUUCUCUCUGAUUCCGCUGUUUACCACAAAUGGAAGUUUCAACUGGAAUUCAUUGGUUACAUCAACAUAUCAUCUAGCAUCAAGAGGAGAACCUUCUCUAAAGAAGAUGUCUUUAAUGCUCCUGAAAUUACAAAUGGUACCCAGGUCUGCAACUAUAUAAGUCACGUACCUCAUCUGCUUUAUGAUUUCAGAAGACAAAAGAAAAUGAGAACAAGCAAAUAAAAUGCAAUCUCUCUUCAGGAAAAAAAAACAAGUGUAUAUUAGAGUUCACAAAUAUAUCUGUUAUCUUUCAGGCAUUAUUCACAGCAACAAUGUCUGCCUCUUAUGCUUUGCACUCAAUAGGAAAGUGAAAAGCUGAAAUACAACUGUUCCCUUUACCUCUCCCCAACAUCUAAUAUUUUCUUCUCCUAAGUCAAGUAUAUAGGACUGUCUUCGCAUCUAUAUUUUCCCAGUUGUUGUAAUCCAGCAUUCUCUGGGCUGCCUUUUGCUCUCUGUUCCAAGAUAUAUUAUUACCUCCUGGAUAUUAUGCUCUCUUUCUUGUUUUGUACCGCACCACAUUUCUGGCACAUUGCAUGCCCCAUGUGCUGGAUGAGAACAUCAUCUGAUUCCAUGGUCGUAAAUAACUCUGUUAAUAGAUGUAGAUUAAUGCCAGGUUUAGAAUAAUACUACUUCUACAGUUGUCUUUCAAGUAUAUGAGCACAAGCCACUCUGAUCUGCACUGGUUUUCACUGCCACAGUGCUUUUUCCUGCAAACUGUAAGCAGGAUCCCUUUGUUCCUAUCUCAAGACAUAACCCUAUGAAUUGACAAAAAGCAGUAAGAUUCAUUGUCAAUCCCCCCAGCCACUUACUCAGCUAGCCAAUAGCAUGCUGCUUGAUAGGAUGUUUUUAAAUAUCUCCAGUCCCUAUUGUAUUAGACACCAAAAGUACUUAACAUCUGUACGUGGUCUGAUGUGUUUUGCAAGGGAUACACUCACUGGUUAUUAACUGGAUAAAACCUGGUAUUAGCUUAGCUUUGUUUAAUUUCUAAUGUUAUUUACUCUGUGAUAACUGACUAACCUCAGUUAACAUCGUGAUUUGUUUGCCCUGUAAUGACCAGAUAUUCCAUUAUAUUAUGUAAAUUAUUUGCAUAGUGAUUAUGAUUUAAUGUUAUUGGUAAUUAGAAUUAUUUGCCUGCUGGUAAUGCUGUAUAAAUGAUCUGUCAUUAAUCAUGGGGCAGGCCUUACCAAGAGCUCUAAUGAGAAAAGCUGCAAUAUAUGUCACUAAGCUAUCCUUAUCCUAUGGACCAUUGUUUUACAGCACAGGAAACUCGUUUCUGUAUUUAUUGAUCAUUCAUUGAUUGUUACCCUAAAGAUAUGGGGCUUUGUAAUUGUUUCUUUAUUCUUUGAUGUAGGAUAUCACCUGAGAUCUUUCAGACUGAGUCACAACAAUCAAAACACAUAGCUGCUAAAAUUUUCUCAUCAGAUUUUGACACUUGUACUUUUGAAUCACAUUAGUAGUUUCACCUCUCAAAUAAGGAGGAAAAUCCAUAGUCCAAGCCCCUCACAUCAGUACCCAUGGAGCCAAAGGCACAUCUUUGCCAAAAGGAAAGGAAGAGUAGGAAAAGUUUGGACUUGAUGAUCCUUCUGGGUCCCUUCCAACUUGGGAUAUUCUGUGAUUCUAUGGAAGGUGCAAAAGGCAGGGGCCAGUGGGACCCCAGCCAGCAGAGCAUGGUAUUUAACUCAGGAAAGCAAACUUCCAAGGGGAAGAUUCUCUUUCUCCGAGAAAAGUUAUCUUUCAUUCUUUCUGCUUCAUUGCCAACAUAUUUCAAGGGACUGUAUAUUCUCCUUAGGAUAAACUACUACUAAACUCAGCAGUGAGAAGAGCGGCAAACGUACACUCAGCAUCCUUCCUACCCAUUUGGUGCUUGCCAUGUAUAUUUCAGUACGUUACUGCUUAAGGAGAGGAUACCAUACCCUAGGAAAGCUGAGUGUCCAUUUAAAGCCGAGUCAUGAAGCCAGACCUCUGAGCUUUGCAGUGAUGAACCUUUGGGUGACAGCAGGACCUGAUAAAGUAAUCCUGUGUAAGAAGAUAGAGAUUCUCAUCUGAGUGAGACAUCUGAAAUGAGAAUCAUGCCUUGUAAAUAACCUCUACUAUGACUUAACUGCAACACACUUAGUGUGAAUACUUUGAGUCUCUGAGAGAGCUAGAACUGCAUAAAAAAUGAAAAUAUUUGUCACAACACUUUCUGUAAUUUUUAUGGAAUAAAGAACUGUUUAGCUAUAUAGUGAUUCAGGCAAAUUGCAUUGCCUGUUUAUCAUAGCAAAAAUUUGAAUAGUCUGAAAGAAAUAUUUGUACUGAAAAUCUUGUUUUAGAUUUAAAAAGGAAAAAGCUGAAACCUACUGAACCAGAAAAUGUAUGCAAAGGAAUAUCAAUGUGAAUAAAAUCUCUCUUUUAAUAUUUUACCAGAGGUAAAACCCAGAAUCAUUAAUGUUACUUUUAAUUUUGAACCCCAGUAAGAUUAUGAACAAUCUUGAUUUUCCCUUGGACGGUUAAAAAAAAGAGUAGUCUGUUGUAUGAGGAAAAGGGACAGUGGAUAAAUAAUAAUAGUGGAACACGAAGAAGAGUCUCACAUAUCUAAAAGGCUAAUUGAUGACUCAUCAAGACAAAUAAGGACAGAAUAUGAAUUAGUUUGAUGAGCCUUUAUCAUGGAACUUUUUGUGCGCUUCAUGAAAUUGGAACUGUUGAAGUCUAGUAAAAGAUGUGGCAGAUAAGUGUCCAUGUAUUCUUAAUGAAUAAGGAAAGGUGUGUGAAUAAAUUUCAAAGCCCUUGGUGACAUGUCCUUUGCACCAGUCUGUACCCAUCAUAAAACAUCUACUGGCAGAAUUAAGCAGGCAAAUAGUGAGAUGC